rnacentral:rRNA from 1 species
GAUGAACGCUGGCGGCGUGCCUAAUACAUGCAAGUCGAGCGAACGGACGAGAAGCUUGCUUCUCUGAUGUUAGCGGCGGACGGGUGAGUAACACGUGGAUAACCUACCUAUAAGACUGGGAUAACUUCGGGAAACCGGAGCUACUACCGGAUAAUAUUUUGAACCGCAUGGUUCAAAAGUGAAAGACGGUCUUGCUGUCACUUAUAGAUGGAUCCGCGCUGCAUUAGCUAGUUGGUAAGGUAACGGCUUACCAAGGCAACGAUGCAUAGCCGACCUGAGAGGGUGAUCGGCCACACUGGAACUGAGACACGGUCCAGACUCCUACGGGAGGCAGCAGUAGGGAAUCUUCCGCAAUGGGCGAAAGCCUGACGGAGCAACGCCGCGUGAGUGAUGAAGGUCUUCGGAUCGUAAAACUCUGUUAUUAGGGAAGAACAUAUGUGUAAGUAACUGUGCACAUCUUGACGGUACCUAAUCAGAAAGCCACGGCUAACUACGU